rnacentral:rRNA from 1 species
UACGUAGGGUGCGAGCGUUGUCCGGAAUUAUUGGGCGUAAAGAGCUCGUAGGCGGUGUGUCGCGUCGGCCGUGAAAACCUGGGGCUCAACUCUGGGCGUGCGGUCGAUACGGGCAUCACUUGAGUUCGGCAGGGGAGACUGGAAUUCCUGGUGUAGCGGUGAAAUGCGCAGAUAUCAGGAGGAACACCGAUGGCGAAGGCAGGUCUCUGGGCAUUAACUGACGCUGAGGAGCGAAAGCAUGGGGAGCGAACAGG